rnacentral:sRNA from 1 species
UCGCAGUUGUUGGGGAAGACCGCUGAU